GAGACAGCAGCCGCCGCGGUAAUACGGAGGGCGCGAGCGUUACCCGGAUUUACUGGGCGUAAAGGGUGUGUAGGCGGCCUGGGGCGUCCCAUGUGAAAGGCCACGGCUCAACCGUGGAGGAGCGUGGGAUACGCUCAGGCUAGAGGGUGGGAGAGGGUGGUGGAAUUCCCGGAGUAGCGGUGAAAUGCGCAGAUACCGGGAGGAACGCCGAUGGCGAAGGCAGCCACCUGGUCCACUUCUGACGCUGAGGCGCGAAAGCGUGGGGAGCAAACCGGAUUAGAUACCCCAGUAGUCCCUGUCUCUUAUAC
rnacentral:rRNA from 1 species